AACUUUGCGCAGACACAGUGUCGCAUCCAAUGAUGUUUCAACUGAGGAGCGACUAUUGGUACUUGAAACUUAUCUCCAUGCUUCGUUAUUAUCAGUCACGUGGACAAAAAUUGGACUCUCUCCGCUACCAAUGAG